GAGGCGUUCAUGUGCGGUUUGUUGAUGGUGCGAAUUCUCUUUGACUAGGGAUCCAAAGAGGGUGCUAGACCCUUACGCAUUGUUGACUUUUCGUACGCGUUCGUUUCUUGGAGUAGGGUUGUUUUGGAUCGCAGCCCAAAGUAGGUGGUAUACUUCAUCUAAAGCUAAAUACGACUACGAAUCCGAUAGCAAACAAGUACCGUGAGGGAAAGUUGCAAAGUACUUUGAAGAGAGAGUUCAAGAGGACGUGAAACCGGUAGGGUGGAAGCAGAUAAAGUUGACGAACGUGUGUCGUAUUCAGAACUACAAUUUGUGGUUUGUUUUUACGAUCGAUGUGGGCUGGCGUCUUUGGUUAACUUAGUGUCUGGCGGCAAUGGUGACCCUGCGGAGGGAUAAUCGGUUGUCGUGCGAUGCUUGGUAUGGCUAGAGGUUCGCUGGUCUUAUAGUCAUCGCUUUAUCUGACCCGUCUUGAAACACGGACCAAGGAGUGUASCGCUUACGCGAGUCUUAGAGUGUGUCAAAACUUUGAGGCGUAACGAAAGUAAAUGUGGAUUAUUCACUGACUUGGGAUGCGUUGUCUUUUUUGGAUAGCGUUGGACCAUGGUUUUAUCGUAAUCGCUUGCGAUGCGGUGAAAAUAGAGCGUAAGCGGUGCGACCCGAAAGAUGGUGAACUAUGCCUGAGCAGGAUGAAG
rnacentral:rRNA from 1 species